rnacentral:rRNA from 1 species
GACGAACGCUGGCGGCGUGCUUAACACAUGCAAGUCGAACGGAAAGGCCUCAGCUUGCUGGGGUACUCGAGUGGCGAACGGGUGAGUAACACGUGGGUGAUCUGCCUUGCACUCUGGGAUAAGCUUGGGAAACUGGGUCUAAUACCGGAUAUGAACUGCCUUUAGUGUGGUGGUUGGAAAGUUUUUUCGGUGCAAGAUGAGCUCGCGGCCUAUCAGCUUGUUGGUGGGGUAAUGGCCUACCAAGGCGUCGACGGGUAGCCGGCCUGAGAGGGUGUACGGCCACAUUGGGACUGAGAUACGGCCCAGACUCCUACGGGAGGCAGCAGUGGGGAAUAUUGCACAAUGGGCGGAAGCCUGAUGCAGCGACGCCGCGUGGGGGAUGACGGCCUUAGGGUUGUAAACUCCUUUCGACAGGGACGAAGCUUUUUGUGACGGUACCUGUAUAAGAAGCACCGGCUAACUACGUG